GGGGCCAGACGCCGGCAGCCUAGAGUGCAGGGCUGGGUGUGGGCUUGGUCAGAGGGAGGCGGUGUGUGUCCUGAGGAGGUGCGGGGCAGGUAGGUGGGGUGGUGAGUCUGGCAGCAGCACUAGCUGGAAUCACUGAGGGAACCAGCUGCAGGCUUCUGCAGCAGCCAGGCAGACAUAAGGCUCUAGAUGUUGAGAGGAAAAGUAGAAACGGAAAGUGACAGAGCCAUGAACUUCCUGACUUCGACGGCCAGGCUGGCUGAAGCCCAAGAAGGCCUUACAGACCCCAGGGCGUGCCCAGAGUGUGAGCCAGGUGCUGUCUCGGGAUGAGGCUGGCAGCUUGGCUCCGCUGACGGGCAGCCGCCCGGAGGAGGAGCCAGCUGAGCCGGACAGCGCCACUCCACGGCAGAGGGCAGGUGUGCGCCUCUGGUCCGGCAGUGGGAACAGCCCCACCUGAGGUCCCCAGGGCCCAGAAACACCCUGCUGGGCUGCGUACUGUGGCCCGCGUGGCUGAUGUGCUUUGGGUCCUUAUUUCCAUUUCCUCUUUGAAUGUGUUUCUUGAAAAGCAUAUCCUUCCAGGUGAAAAAACAGUAUAGUUUUUAGUAUGAUGAUUUGAAAUACAGCAAAUAUUGGUAACAUGCUCUGCAGGUAGUUAUGUAAAGCUGUGAAAGAGCCACAGGUAAUUUACUCUCCCUGCAGUUCUAUUUAUCCUUUUUUACAAAGCAGCCACCUUUGGGAUUCCUUUCUUUGAGUGGCAUCAAUUCUCCAGAGAUCAGCAUAAAAAAGUGAUUAAAAUAAUUUUGUGUGAUUUUUGCUUUUAAAAUAAAAUCUUGGCAAACCAGCA